rnacentral:rRNA from 1 species
GUUGUAUGGUUAAGUGACGAAGCGUAGACGGUGGAUGCCUAGGCAGUUGGAGGCGAUGAAGGACGUACUAACUUGCGAUAAGCCAUGAUAAGGCAGUAAGAGCCGCUUGAGUCAUGGAUUUCCGAAUGGGGCAACCCAGUGUGCUUGCACACUAUCCUUAAGUGAAUACAUAGCUUAAGGAAGCGAACCCGGAGAACUGAAACAUCUAAGUACCCGGAGGAAAAGAAAUCAACCGAGAUUUCCCUAGUAGCGGCGAGCGAACGGGAAGUAGCCCUUAAGCAAUCAUGGUGGUAGUGGAACGUGUUGGAAAGCACGACAAUAGAGGGUGAUAGUCCCGUACACGACGCCAACAUAAUUGUGAAAACGAGUAGGUCGGGACACGUGUUAUCUUGACUGAAUAUGGGGGGACCAUCCUCCAAGGCUAAAUACUCCCAACUGACCGAUAGUGAACCAGUACCGUGAGGGAAAGGCGAAAAGAACCCCGGCGAGGGGAGUGAAAUAGAACCUGAAACCGUCUACGUACAAGCAGUAGGAGCCUUCUUCGGAGGGUGACUGCGUACCUUUUGUAUAAUGGGUCAGCGACUUAUAUUUUGUAGCAAGGUUAACCGCAUAGGGGAGCCGUAGGGAAACCGAGUCUUAACUGGGCGCUUAGUUGCAAGGUAUAGACCCGAAACCGGGCGAUCUAGCCAUGGGCAGGUUGAAGAUUGAGUAACAUCAAUUGGAGGACCGAACUCACUAAUGUUGAAAAAUUAGGAGAUGACCUGUGGCUCGGAGUGAAAGGCUAAUCAAGCCCGGAGAUAGCUGGUUCUCCCCGAAAGCUAUUUAGGUAGCGCCUCGGACGAAUACCACUGGGGGUAGAGCACUGUUUGGGCUAGGGGGUCAUCCCGACUUACCAACCCCAUGCAAACUCCGAAUACCAGUGAGUACUAUCCGGGAGACACACGGCGGGUGCUAACGUCCGUCGUGGAGAGGGAAACAACCCAGACCGCCAGCUAAGGUCCCCAAGUCAUGGCUAAGUGGGAAACGAUGUGGGAAGGCUCAGACAGCUAGGAGGUUGGCUUAGAAGCAGCCAUCCUUUAAAGAAAGCGUAAUAGCUCACUAGUCGAGUCGGCCUGCGCGGAAGAUGUAACGGGGCUAAGCCAUGCACCGAAGCUGCGGCAGCAAACUUGUUUGCUGGGUAGGGGAGCGUUCUGUAAGCCGUUGAAGGUGUGUUGAGAAGCAUGCUGGAGGUAUCAGAAGUGCGAAUGCUGACAUGAGUAACGAUAAUGCGGGUGAAAAACCCGCACGCCGGAAGACCAAGGUUUCCUAUCCCAUGCUAAUCAGGGUAGGGUAAGUCGGCCCCUAAGGCGAGGCCGAGAGGCGUAGUCGAUGGGAAUCAGGUUAAUAUUCCUGAACCGGCAUGUACUGCGAUGGGGGGACGGAGAAGGCUAGGCAAGCCGGGUGUUGGUUAUCCCGGUGAAAGUAUGUAGGUUGGCGGCUUAGGAAAAUCCGGGCUGCUAAGACUGAGAUACGAGACGAGUACCUACGGGUGCGAAGUUGUUGAUGCCCUGCUUCCAGGAAAAGCCUCUAAGCUUCAGGUACAUGUUGACCGUACCCGAAACCGACACAGGUGGUCAGGUAGAGAAUACUAAGGCGCUUGAGAGAACUCGGGUGAAGGAACUAGGCAAAAUAGUACCGUAACUUCGGGAGAAGGUACGCCAGAGCUGGUAACUCCCCUGCGGGAGAAGCCGGAGCUGGCCGCAGUGACCAGGUGGCUGGGACUGUUUAUUAAAAACACAGCACUCUGCAAACUCGAAAGAGGACGUAUAGGGUGUGACACCUGCCCGGUGCCGGAAGGUUAAUUGAUGGGGUUAGCGUAAGCGAAGCUCUUGAUCGAAGCCCCGGUAAACGGCGGCCGUAACUAUAACGGUCCUAAGGUAGCGAAAUUCCUUGUCGGGUAAGUUCCGACCUGCACGAAUGGUGUAACCAUGGCCACGCUGUCUCCACCCGAGACUCAGUGAAAUUGAAAUCGCCGUGAAGAUGCGGUGUACCCGCGGCUAGACGGAAAGACCCCGUGAACCUUUACUACAGCUUGGCACUGAACAUUGAACCUCCAUGUGUAGGAUAGGUGGGAGGCUUAGAAGCGUUGGCGCUAGUUGACGUGGAGCCAUCCUUGAAAUACCACCCUUGUAUGUUUGAUGUUCUAACUUAGCUCCCUUAUCGGGAGUGAGGACAGUGCCUGGUGGGUAGUUUGACUGGGGCGGUCUCCUCCCAAAGCGUAACGGAGGAGCACGAAGGUUGGCUAAGUACGGUCGGACAUCGUACGGUUAGUGUAAUGGCACAAGCCAGCUUAACUGCGAGACAGACACGUCGAGCAGGUGCGAAAGCAGGUCAUAGUGAUCCGGUGGUUCUGAAUGGAAGGGCCAUCGCUCAACGGAUAAAAGGUACUCCGGGGAUAACAGGCUGAUACCGCCCAAGAGUUCAUAUCGACGGCGGUGUUUGGCACCUCGAUGUCGGCUCAUCACAUCCUGGGGCUGUAGUCGGUCCCAAGGGUAUGGCUGUUCGCCAUUUAAAGUGGUACGCGAGCUGGGUUUAGAACGUCGUGAGACAGUUCGGUCCCUAUCUGCCGUGGGCGUUUGAGAGUUGAGAGGGGUUGCUCCUAGUACGAGAGGACCGGAGUGAACGAACCUCUGGUGUUCGGGUUGUCACGCCAGUGGCACUGCCCGGUAGCUAUGUUCGGAAUCGAUAACCGCUGAAAGCAUCUAAGCGGGAAGCGAGCCUCAAGAUAAGCUCUCACUAGCACGUAAGUGCUCUGAAGGGUUGUUGAAGACGACAACGUUGAUAGGCGGGGUGUGGAAGCGUAGUAAUGCGUUGAGCUAACCCGUACUAAUUGCCCGUGAGGCUUAACCAUACAACACCGAAGGUGUUU